GAUGAACGCUGGCGGCGUGCCUAAUACAUGCAAGUCGAGCGAACAGACGAGGUACUUGUUCCACUGACGUUAGCGGCGGACGGGUGAGUAACACGUGGAUAACCUACCUAUAAGACUGGGAUAACUUCGGGAAACCAGUGCUAAUACCGCAUAAUAUCUUUAAACACAUGUUUCAAUAUUGAAAGACGCAUUUGCAUCACUCUAUGAAUAGCUCCCCGCGUAUUUAGCUGGUUGGUAGGGAAACGCUCUACCAAGCGAAGGAUCAUAGGCGAACUGAGAGGGGUGUCCGGCCACACGGGAACGGAGACACGGUCCAAACUCCAACGGGAGGCGGAGGAAGGGAAUCUUGGGCAAGGGGGGAAAGCCUGACGGAGCAACGCCGCGUGAGUGAUGAAGGUCUUCGGAUCGUAAAACUCGGUUAUAAGGGAAAAACAAAGGUGGAAGGAACUAUGCACGUAGUGACGGUACCUAAUCAGAAAGCCACGGCUAACUACGUG
rnacentral:rRNA from 1 species